rnacentral:rRNA from 1 species
GACGAACGCUGGCGGCGUGCUUAACACAUGCAAGUCGAACGAGGCCACCCUUUCGGGGGUGAGUCGAGUGGCGGACGGGUGAGUAACACGUGAGCGACCUAUCCUGGUACGGGGGAUAAC